rnacentral:rRNA from 1 species
AAUAUUGCACAAUGGAGGAAACUCUGAUGCAGCGACGCCGCGUGAAUGACGAAGGCCUUCGGGUCGUAAAAUUCUGUUGUUAGGGAAGAACAAGUAUCGACCGAAUAAGUCGGUACCUUGACGGUACCUAACCAGAAAGCCCCGGCUAACUACGUGCCAGCAGCCGCGGUAAUACGUAGGGGGCAAGCGUUGUCCGGAAUUAUUGGGCGUAAAGGGCGCGCAGGCGGUCUUCUAAGUCUGAUGUGAAAUCUCGUAGCUUAACUACGAGCGGUCAUUGGAAACUGGGAGACUUGAGGACAGAAGAGGAGAGUGGAAUUCCACGUGUAGCGGUGAAAUGCGUAGAGAUGUGGAGGAACACCAGUGGCGAAGGCGACUCUCUGGUCUGUAACUGACGCUGAGGCGCGAAAGCGUGGGGAGCGAAC